UACGGGGGGGGGCAAGCGUUGUUCGGAAUUACUGGGCGUAAAAGGGCUCGUAGGCGGCCAACUAAGUCAGACGUGAAAUCCCCAGGCUCAACCUGGGAACUGCGUCUGAUACUGGAUGGCUUGAAUUCGGGAGAGGGAUGCAGAAUUCCUGGUGUAGCGGUGAAAUGCGCAGAUAUCAGGAGGAACACCGGUGGCGAAGGCGGGUCUCUGGGCCGUAACUGACGCUGAGGAGCGAAAGCGUGGGGAGCGAACAGG
rnacentral:rRNA from 1 species